GAUGAACGCUGGCGGCGUGCUUAACACAUGCAAGUCGAGCGGAUAGUUGUGCUUGCACAACUAUUAGCGGCGGACGGGUGAGUAACGCGUGGGUAACCUGCCUUAUACUGGGGGAUAACAUAGUGAAAACUAUGCUAAUACCGCAUAAGACCACGAAGUCACAUGGCUUUGAGGUAAAAACUCCGGUGGUAUAAGAUGGACCCGCGUCUGAUUAGCUAGUAGGUGAGGUAACGGCUCACCUAGGCGACGAUCAGUAGCCGACCUGAGAGGGUGAUCGGCCACAUUGGGACUGAGACACGGCCCAAACUCCUACGGGAGGCAGCAGUGGGGAAUAUUGCACAAUGGAGGAAACUCUGAUGCAGCGACGCCGCGUGAAGGAAGAAGGUUUUCGGAUCGUAAACUUCUAUCAGCAGGGACGAUAAUGACGGUACCUGACUAAGAAGCCCCGGCUAACUACGUGCCAGCCGCCGCCGUAAAAC
rnacentral:rRNA from 1 species